AUACUAUUAUGAGUACGAUCGCUCUCGUACUCAUAAAUCGUUUUCGAUGAUAGAAGUUCCAAAUCGACGAUCCAUAUCGUUAAACGUUUUUUACAGCAUUUAAAACUUCUAGAAAUCAAAUUUUAUAAUUUUUCGACAUCAUUUACCUUACGAUCAAGAGGUCACAAAUUUGAUAAUUUUUAACGGCCGGUAUGUGAUACUUGCUAGUUUAACGGUGUAAAAGAAUCGG
rnacentral:lncRNA from 1 species